CUCUCUCUCUCUCUCUCUCUCUCUCUACCACAUGCACGCAAGCAUGCACCUUAGCGCCUGCAAGGAAAACUGCGUCAGAAUUUUUUUAUUUUUUUUAAAGAAGAAUGAAAACGGUCAGUGCGCGCGUGGCGUGCGCGGUGUGACAGCCGUUGUGUUUUUGCCAUUGUGCCACUCUGUGGCAUGUUGCGCGUGACCGCUUCAUCGCUGCCACCUCGUUGACUCUCCGUCACCAUGAGCGCGCCGAACAAAGCGUCAGAAAAAAGAAUUGGCUCUAAAAAUAAGCUGGAAAAACUGUUGAAGACAAGAAAAGGCAGCUUCCCACUUCUGAUAAAGAUUAUUUCAGCAUCACCCGGCCCAGCUACUCUAGGAAUAAGAAGUGCGCCUCCCCAUUAUUCUGAUGAACCCUGCCCCUGAUCGGGUUUCUCAUCAUAGCUUUGUCCUUUGUUGACACCGGACCCCCUGAAAUAAAAGUGGCCAUUAAGGGAAGAGAGCUCACCUCCGCUGAUAUCAGUGUCACCAAGCAGAUUAUUAUAGCAUACAUAACGCGAUCCUGCCUAACAAUCUCUCUGUUUGUUUCUACUUCUGCAUUUGUGUGCAUACAAUCGUGUUAUCCUGCGUUUGCAUUUGUCCGUUGCCAACUGAAACACCUCUGGCUUGUGGUUUGUGGUUCGCUUCCUCAACACGGGAACGCGUGGUAACCGCCGGCAGGAUCCUCCCUGCACUGGACGGCUAUCAUCCGUCCCACUGGCGAUGCCCACGGGACUGUGAAAGCCUCGGCUUUGAUUGGCCUCGUUCUGACAAACCUGCAGGCUUUCACGCAGAGCAGGUGCUCCAGAGGGGACAACUGGGCCGAGACACUCCCCAAUUCUGAUAAACAUUAAUUGAACUUUUUAAAGAAUGCUGGGUAAACAGCCACCCUGGGAGUUUUGUUAAUGAGUGCCUGACUCGCUUGCAUGAAGCGUAUUCCUUCGACGGUGAGUCAUGCGACGCAGAGCAGCCACGGCGGGUGUGCCGGCGCCCGCCCCCAUCAGCCUUCCACCUCCGGAGGCCCAAGAGCACCGUUGUGUAAUGAUGUUGUGAGGUCUUAAGUAUCGUUAUAUAAUUUGAUUGGUUUGACCCAGUUAGGCGCACUUAUUCCAUCAUACAUACAUCAUACAUGUAGAUGUAUUAUUUGCUACGCAUACGGGAUUAUAAAACCGUCAGUCCAAUGGGAGAAGCUGUCCCUCCCCUGUAAAUGGACUGUACUUGUAUAGUGCUUUUCUAGUCUUAUGACCACUCAAAGUGCUUUAACAUACAUGUCAUCAUUUACCCAUUCACCCCCAUCCACACACUGAUGACAGGAGAACCAUACACAGUGACACCUGCACAUCAGUAACUAACAUUCACGCACUGUAGUCACAGCUACAGGAGCAAUGUUGGGUUAAGUGUCUUGCCCAAGGACACAUCGACAUGUGGGUUAGCCGGGCCUGGGAUCGAUCCAACAACCCUCUGAUUGGAGGACGACCGUGCCUCACACACACACGCCCCCUGUGUUUGGAUGAAACUGUGAUGCACGCCAUGGCCUCUUGUAUUUGGCACCCAGAGACAACAAGCGUCUCAAUCCUCAUUGUCUCCAUCCGCCAAACAUGUCAUCAGAUUAAUCCCUGCAAUUUGCCCUAAUUGUUACAUUUUGAAGGCAGCGUAUUGUCUGUGUCAGUCGAUCUCGGUGCCGACAAAGGCGGAUCGCCUUGCCAGGUUGUUGUUGGAGGGUGACAGGACAGUCUGCGCUUAUGGGGUCAAAAGAGGAGCGGACAACGCUCAUCUUACCCGGGUGACCAACGCUCACCUUUGCCCACCGCUCCUGUAAGAGCGAGGAGACAGGGGGCCCUUGGCAUCAGAGCCAAUUGACAACGGGGGGUGUGUGGCACCAGAGAUGCCGGGCCCUCAUCACUCACGCAGGCUUGGCCGCACGGGUGUAGCUGCUCCAUCCUCGGGUUCUCAGGAACUGGCAGGGCAGCGAGUCUGAACCCUUCCAGGUCAACACCCCCACUGAGCGCGAUGGGGGCUCAACGCACAUUGAGCAGCGAAACCUGCGACGCGACUCUUAGGAUUUUGUAGGUAAACAAGCAGGCUCGAGUAAUCUCCCACACACGUGCACUUGUCCACGUCGUACAACCACACCUGCCUCAGCUCUCUGGCAAGUGGGCCGUUUAUAUAUUAGCUGAUCAGCUUUAUGAAAUAGCAGACAUGGCACCCUCGCUCGGGUCUCCUUCCAGGGAUGGGAAGCGGAUAAUCUUGGAUGACCAAGUGAUUAAUGAGGUAUGGCUUUCAUAGUUCAGGAAUGAAAAUUAUAGACGAUGGUGUUGAAGAAGAGUUAUGCCUGUUCAUCUAUUUAAUAUUUAGGGAUCUUUUCUCGGGUGGAGAGAUGAUGCGCUAGCAAAUGUAUAGGAAAAUAGUAUUUGUACUGACUGUGGUUUGUGGUUUGGAGCACUAGAUUAGCCUCAGAGGUGGAGGAGUCCUUUUUUAGAUUCACAUUUGAUAAAGAAAUUGUUAAUCCUUGUACUACUUGAUAAUCAAGGCCAUGGAAAAUCCAUUUUGGCGCAAUUCUUUGUGUUGUUUCGUGAAUUAUAAAGCACAAGAGUAUAAUGUGUACUCUGCAUGUAGGUGGACUCAACGUGGGUUAACAUCCACCUCCAUCAACUAUCCCACACAAUUAUCGGGAAAAUUUUAAAAUGUAUGACAGAAAAAAAGGUCAAGCAUCUCAGAAUGAAGCACGAAUAAACAAGCAUGGUGAGCCACCAAUUUUACCAUCAAGUUAAAACAUGUAAUGUAGUAUUAAAAGACAACUUGCAGUCGCCCUCUGCUUAAAACCACAUACAUAUGUAUAUAUAGACAUAUAUAUAGUCAUGUUGUAUCAGUACAGAAUGUUCCUAACUGAAGCUAGGCAGUAAACGUAGAAUGGGACUGAUGCAGCACCCCAUUUAGACUCUGACAGAGCUGCGCUACCAUCAAAUGUUACUGUUGCUCGACACACCAAUGUGACAUGAGCCUCUCCACAUGGGAAUACAAUUCAGCUCAUCUAGUCUGAGCUCCACUCCAUUUUUUUAGCCGUGUCCACUCAUCAGACGCGCAAACAAACACACAAACACAUGAACGAAGAAAUACACAAAAUCACUUAUUACUGACUGAAAUAAAGCAAGACAUUCAGAACUUGACUUGAUUGUAAUUGCUUAGCAAUGUGUUGUAACAGUGUGUUGGAUGUUCUAUGAAUACACUGACCGUGUACUGGUUAUUCAGAUAUAUCAGAUAUCAUUGUGACAGUAGUUGUGGUAACGUCAGUUCUCCCUUUUACAAUAUGGGAUUCAAACCUUCUCAGGCCUGUCAGCAAUUUACCCGUGAUGUGGUUUUCCUUUUGAGGGAGGCAAAGUGGAUUUUUAGGGUGAGAUGGACAGUCAAAUGUUUGUGUGACACAUUGGAAGAAGUAGGAUUGAAAUUUGGAGAUUUCUACAAGAAUCACAUUUUUGAAUUGGAUAGCUCUUUUUUAUAGAAACUUCUCAUUUUAAAUACACCUACAAAAGACAUGCAUCCUCUACCCUUCGUCUCUAGUUUGUGGUUGCAACGUUCCAUUAAGCUGCGAUUAUCCUGGAGAUGACAGCAGGUCAUUUUAUAGUCAAGUUUUUAUUUUUUUAUUUCACUACAAUGAAAUGGCAAAUAGGGAAUAACACCAUUAUACAUGAACCUUAUUCAUUCAUUGAAUCCAGAAUCUCAUGUUUCUAGUCAUACACACCGUGCAAUUUCAGGACUGUUUAGGAUCCUGAAAUGCAUGGGUUUUACCAUAAAGCUGGCAUGAACGUGAAGGGCUAGUCUCUGGGUAUUCACAGAUCCCCUUUUCAGUCAGAUGUCUUCCAGUGAGAGGUCAAGGGACCUCUUGAAUAAUGGGCCUAAUUUAGAAGCCAUAUUAUGUCAUAUUAAGAAGCUAGCAAAGCAAGGAUGGUUCCAAUGAAUUCAUUAGGUUCUCUUGUUUCACAUGACAUCUUUAAGUCUAAGCCCUCUACAUCCCUUUCCAGUUACAAUAUGUGUCACGGUGUGGUUCACUUCCUGUUGUAUUUUGUAGUUUUCUGCCACUCGUGUCCCCGGGUAACUUCACUUCCUGCCUUGUUCCGUCAUCCCCUGUGAUCGUCUUAAUAGUUUCCACCUGUGUCCAAUCACCUGCACCUCCCUUGUGUAUUUAAGCUGUGUGUCUCCUGUGUCACUUGUCGCGUCAUUGUCUUUCGCCACGCAUGUCUGUGUCUCUUGUUGUGGAUGUGCUUAGUUUCCUGCCUGAUGUUCUUCCCUUGGUUCUUGUGUUUUUCGGCCUUUUGACUAUUAAAGUCCUUUUGUUUCCCGCAAAG
ensembl:lncRNA